rnacentral:rRNA from 1 species
GGAAACGACUGCUAAUACCGCAUAAGCCCACGAUCCGGCAUCGGAUUGAGGGAAAAGGAUUUAUUCGCUUCAGGAUGGACUCGCGUCCAAUUAGCUAGUUGGUGAGGUAACGGCCCACCAAGGCGACGAUUGGUAGCCGGACUGAGAGGUUGAACGGCCACAUUGGGACUGAGACACGGCCCAGACUCCUACGGGAGGCAGCAGUGGGGGAUAUUGCACAAUGGGGGAAACCCUGAUGCAGCGACACCGCGUGGAGGAAGAAGGUUUUCGGAUUGUAAACUCCUGUCGUUAGGGACGAUAAUGACGGUACCUAACAAGAAAGCACCGGCUAACUACGUGCCAGCAGCCGCGG